UCUUUUGUAGCUCAGUGGUAGAGCGAAUGGCUGUUAACCAUUAGGUCGUUGGUUCAAUCCCAACCAAAAGAG
rnacentral:tRNA from 1 species